rnacentral:tRNA from 1 species
GCCUGGCUGGCUCAGUUGGCAGAGCAUGCGAUUCUUGAUCUCAGGGUUAUGAGUUCAAUCCCCAUGUUGGGUG